AUUGAACGCUGGCGGCAUGCUUUACACAUGCAAGUCGAACGGUAACAGGUCUUCGGAUGCUGACGAGUGGCGAACGGGUGAGUAAUGUAUCGGAACGUGCCCAGUAGUGGGGGAUAACUACUCGAAAGAGUGGCUAAUACCGCAUGAGAACUGAGGUUGAAAGCGGGGGACCGUUCGGGCCUCGCGCUACUGGAGCGGCCGAUAUCAGAUUAGGUAGUUGGUGGGGUAAAGGGCCUACCAAGCCGACGAUCUGUAGCUGGUCUGAGAGGACGACCAGCCACACUGGGACUGAGACACGGCCCAGACUCCUACGGGAGGCAGCAGUGGGGAAUUUUGGACAAUGGACGCAAGUCUGAUCCAGCAAUGCCGCGUGCAGGACGAAGGCCUUCGGGUUGUAAACUGCUUUUGUACAGAACGAAAGGGACUCUGGUUAAUACCUGGGGCAGAUGACGGUACUGUAAGAAUAAGCACCGGCUAACUACGUGCCAGCAGCCG
rnacentral:rRNA from 1 species